rnacentral:rRNA from 1 species
UACGUAGGCGGCUCGUUAAGUCAGAUGUGAAAGCCCCGGGCUCAACCUGGGAACUGCAUUUGAAACUGGCGAGCUAGAGUAUGGUAGAGGGGGGUAGAAUUUCUGGUGUAGCGGUGAAAUGCGUAGAUAUCAGAAGGAAUACCAGUGGCGAAGGCGGCCCCCUGGCCCAAUACUGACGCUGAGGUACGAAAGCGUGGGUAGCGAACAGGAUUAGAUACCCUGGUAGUCC